rnacentral:rRNA from 1 species
CCUACGGGUGGCAGCAGUGAGGAAUAUUGGUCAAUGGCCGGAAGGCUGAACCAGCCAUGCCGCGUGAAGGGCAGGGACCUAUGGGCGUUAAACUUCUUUUGUGCGGGAGCAAGAAUGGUCACGGGUGGCCAGACGAGAGUACCGUACGAAUAAGCAUCGGCGAACUCCGUGCCAGCAGCCGCGGUAAGACGGGGGAUGCAAGCGUUAUCCGGAGUUAGUGGGUUUAAAGGGUGCGUCGGCUGUGAGGUAAGGCAGCGGUGAAAUGCCCCCGCUCAACGGGGUGAAGUGCCAUUGAUACUGCCUUGCUGGACUGCGGAUGCCGUGGGAGGAAUGUGUGGUGUCGCGGU